rfam:Betaproteobacteria bacterium RIFCSPLOWO2_12_FTLL_62_58 rifcsplowo2_12_scaffold_25624, whole genome shotgun sequence.
CUGGGUGCUGAGCGAUUGGCGCUGAAUGCCGUGGAGAAGUCAGCAAAGGGCAAAAUAGGUCGGGAGGCCCCGGCCGAAGGCC